rnacentral:ncRNA from 1 species
UUUACGCGCACUUUCUCAGGUGCCAGCCGCAACGUGCGGCGGUGAAACGGGAAGUCGGUGCCCAUUCCGACGCUGCCCCCGCAACGGUGAUCGAGACAACCGCAACGCAUGCCACUGCGCCGCUUUUUUAUCUACAACGUAUAAAAAACGCGUGGGAAGGGCGCUGCGGAAUAAAGGUGCGCAUGCCGUAAACACCCAACGCCCUUUUGCUCGUCAGCCCGGAGACCGGCCUGAGAGGUCAGGUAUAU